ACGGAACUCAUAGCAAGUAUGAUUAUAUCCUUAACUCAAAAGAUUUAUAAGUUCAAUCUUGACUUUACACUAGCUCUAGUGUUCUUUCAUCACUUUUUGUUGCCACUCUAGCAAUCAUUGUUCUUUACCAUUCUUUACUCUUGCUAACUCUAGCAAUUAUAUUCUUUACUCCCCACAUUACUUUAUCUUUAAUCGUUGUCAUUUUCAUCAUUCUUUACAAUACAUUGGUUCUUUACCUCACACUAUCUCUA
rnacentral:lncRNA from 1 species